UCCCUGGUGGUCUAGUGGUUAGGAUUCCGUGGUCUCACUGCCGCGGCCCGGGUUCGAUUCCCGGUCAGGGAA
rfam:Danio rerio chromosome 4, GRCz11 reference primary assembly.